rnacentral:tRNA from 1 species
CCCCUACUGGUCCAGUGAUUAGGACUCUGAGCUUCCACUGCAGGAAGCCCAGGUUUGAUCCCUGGUGGGGGA